GAUGAACGCUGGCGGCGUGCCUAAUACAUGCAAGUCGAGCGAACAGACGAGGAGCUUGCUCCUCUGACGUUAGCGGCGGACGGGUGAGUAACACGUGGAUAACCUACCUAUAAGACUGGGAUAACCUCGGGAAACCGGAGCUAAUACCGGAUAAUAUAUUGAACCUCAUGGUUCAAUAGUGAAAGACGGUUUUGCUGUCUCUUAUAGAUGGAUCCGCGCCGCAUUAGCUAGUUAGUAAGGUAACGGCUUACCAAGGCGACGAUGCGUAGCCGACCUGAGAGGGUGAUCGGCCACACUGAAACUGAGACACGGUCCAGACUCCUACGGAAGGCAGCAGUAAGGUAUCUUCCGCAAUGGGCGAAAGCCUGACGGAGCAACGCCGCGAGAGUGAUGAAGGUCUUCGGAUCGUAAAACUCUGUUAUUAGGGAAGAACAAAUGUGUAAGUAACUAUGCACGUCUUGACGGUACAUAAUCAGAAAGCCACGGCUAACUACGUG
rnacentral:rRNA from 1 species